rnacentral:lncRNA from 1 species
CAUGAAUGUAAUCACAAACACACCACAUUCCUGAGUUCUAGGAGUCCUGCGAGUGAAUUGUCAAACCGGAGGGGACAGGAGGGUGUCCUAGAGCUCCAGGGCAGCGGGAGAGGAGUAGAGGCAGGAGAUGGUGUGCAGUGUGAGCUGGGCGUUAAGGAAGGGUCAGGGUGAAAGCAAACCGGGGCGAUUCUGACUGGUGUAACCGUGGGGAGGUGGCCCCGAGAACAGAAAGAGGACAAAGAGGAGGCACCACAAUUGGAAACAGAUGAAGAGCUCAACUGUGGUGAUGUGAGGCCCCAGAGGAAAACCCAGGAACCUUCAAAGAUCACUCAUUGCCACGGCAAAGAUUUUAAACCCUUGAUCCUGUCUUCGGAAGCCAGCCCGCGUUUUGGCCCCUACAUCUCUAUACUGCGCAGUCCAGAGCCCACGCUCCAGCCCAUGGGGACUCCUUCCUGGCCUCAACGCAUUCCUGCUCCUGCAUAAGGCUUGACGGAGAAUAUCCGCUGGUUCUGCCCGAGAAAAGAGACUUCCUGAGACAUGAUGUCAUCUUUGCAAAGGGGAAACACAUGUUGAGUCCCGCAGCACAGAACAAUACAGAGGUGCUGAUAGUUUCGCUG